CCGAUUAUAAUUAAAUCGGUGCCUCACCAGCUAUGAACCUCACCCCACGUCACUGGACUGGACCAUUCGUCUUCACAUAAACUCGGGCCAACUUUCCCCUCCCUGGUGAAGAAAGGCAUCCCCACAUCGUGAUACAGCCACCACCAUGUUCCACUUUUAACCCAGUUCUGAAUUGAAAGUGAACCACUGCCUGGACAUCCAACAAGCAAAGCCAGAACCAACAGUCUGUGCUGCCGGAGUCACUCUUGGAAGCUGACAAUCCCACCGGAUGACAUAAUCCCAGAACUCAAAGAAACUCAGAUGGGCACAGCUGGUGGGAGAUCCRCCACCUACUGUGGGGUCACCCCCACCCUCCCYGCCACCUGCACAGUUUCAGCCACAUCUUGACUUGCACCUUCAUUGUGCUGCGCAGAUCUCAAUCCUGACAGAACAACAGGAGUGCAGUGGAGUUCCAGGCACUGGAGGACCACCACAGAAAGCUCUGUCGGCCCUUCAGAGAAAUGUUGUCAGACUCUUUUUUUCAUUUUUUUUUCUUUUUAAUUUUUUUCUUUUUAAUUGUUCUCCCAUAAAAGCCAUGGCGACAGACUGGUUUGAAUAAUAUGACCAUCCAACAAAACAAUGAGAUUACCUUUGCAGGCUUUGGGUCUGAGGGUGGUCGGCUCCACCUUGCUAACAUUUUACAUGACCUGCGAGACGAGUUCUGGAAAAAAUGGACUCAGGUCAUAAAAASAUUACAAGAGGAACUGUGAAGCAGGCACAAAGAACUAUUUAAAUGUUUUGUUCAACGCAAAAAAGACCCUCUUUCUGUUUGUUUUUUUCACAGUACCGCUGCUCAAUCAAACCUGAAGUUGUAACUAACCAAAA